UAAGGAAUAUUGGUCAAUGGAGGCAACUCUGAACCAGCCAUGCCGCGUGAAGGAUUAAGGCCCUCUGGGUUGUAAACUACUUUUAUAUGGGAAGAAAUGUACUUUUUCUAAAGUGCUUGACGGUACCAUAGGAAUAAGCACCGGCUAACUCCGUGCCAGCAGCCGCGGUAAUACGGAGGGUGCAAGCGUUAUCCGGAGUUACUGGGUUUAAAGGGUGCGUAGGCGGAUGAAUAAGUCAGUGGUGAAAUCUCCGAGCUUAACUCGGAAACUGCCGUUGAUACUGUUAGUCUUGAGUACAGUUGAGGUAGGCGGAAUGUGUCAUGUAGCGGUGAAAUGCUUAGAUAUGACACAGAACACCGAUUGCGAAGGCAGCUUGCUAAGCUGUAACUGACGCUGAGGCACGAAAGCGUGGGGAGCAAACA
rnacentral:rRNA from 1 species